rnacentral:rRNA from 1 species
AGACUGGGAUAACUUCGGGAAACCGGAGCUAAUACCGGAUAAUAUAUUGAACCGCAUGGUUCAAUAGUGAAAGACGGUUUUGCUGUCACUUAUGGAUGGAUCCGCGCCGCAUUAGCUAGUUGGUAAGGUAACGGCUUACCAAGUGCAACGAUGCGUAGCCGACCUGAGAGGGUGAUCGGCCACACUGGAACUGAGACACGGUCCAGACUCCUACGGGAGGCAGCAGUAACGGUAAUCUUCCGCAAUGGGCGAAAGCCUGACGGAGCAACGCCGCGCUGAGUGAUGCAAGGUCUUCGGCAUCGUAAAACUCUGUUAUUAGGGAAGAACACAAUGUGUAAGUAACUAUGCACGUCUUGACGGUACCUAAACUGAAAGCCACGGUAACUACAUGCCAGCAGCCGCGGUAAUACGUAGGUGGCAAGCGUUAUC